GCGGUGGGGCUUAGUGAGCGCUUAGGGUGGUUUAAUAGAUAACUGGGGGAACUCAUGUUGAAGGAGCUCGGGUGAUGUAGUGGGAGUUCGUCCGUUGGGGGAAUUCAAUCAGCAUUGUGGGAAUCCAGCUGUUGGAGAAGUCUGGAGAGAUACCAUCUGCGGUCGAAAGCCGAUGGAGUCUUGGGAGGGUCAAUCCUGUUAAGAACUUCGGUUGAGGGUAUUUCAUACCCAACACCAGUCUCCCUACUUUCGAGUUCAAAUUUCGGAUGAAGGAAGUACAGAAAGAUUGCCACAGCCGAAGUUCCUCCCUCGAUGUCCGCACGCAAUCGUCCUCAGAUAUUUUGGCAUUUGAUGCGCGCGUGCUGGGGCCUUUUUCCGAUUAGGGCGACCCGAAGAGUCUUUUCGGAACUCCUACCAGGACGUGACCCCAAGCGUCAUGCCAUGAAAGUCUGCGAACGGUCAACCCUAGGUCGCGGUGAGUGGGACACGCGGUGAGCACUGGUUGGCCUAGGGACACCAGCCACCAUAAUUGCGCCAGGCUCCAUUGCCUAUUUAAGCCCCCACCUCUCCUCCAAAGGCUUCACUUCGCCUGAGGGACGACAACUUUCUUUUGCCUGAGAGCUUAGCCACUCAGCC
rnacentral:lncRNA from 1 species